CCGCCCAUAGCUCAAUUGGCAGAGCAGGGGACUCUUAAUCCCAAGGUUUCAGGUUCGACUCCUGAUGGGCGGA
rnacentral:tRNA from 1 species